AUGGAAGUUACUGAACUGGUUUAAAAGCUUGACUAAAAAUACAACAUCCAGUGUAGAAAAUAUGUUUGAGUUUUAUAUGGGAAAUACUGUGUGGCUCCACUUACAAGGUGGACUUACUUUAGUUGUUGUUUGACUAAAGUGUUGAGCGUUUGCUUUGAUUUAAAAUUUUUAAUGUCACAAUUGCUAGUCUUGGUAGUCGAGAAUCAGUCUGCCAGGACCUUUGCUCCUGGACGGUGCCCGGCACACAUUGCACUAAACCCCUACGGUGCCUACGGGUGGUGGGCCUGCAGGAGGAUGGGCCCAUGUCCCUUUUUUGGGCUGUGCCCGGCCAGGCCCCAUGGACUAAGGCCCGGCCACCAGAUGCUCGCCCUCGAACACCUCCCUGGCUCCAGGGAGAGGCCCCGGUAACCCUCUCUCUGGCAGGGUGAACUGUUCCCUUGGUCUUGUACUUCUGAGGGGGUCACCCUUGGAUCUUCCAAGGGUGAGAAGUUCAGCCAUCCGGGAGGGGAUCAGAGUAGAGCCGCUGCUCCUCCACAUUGAAAGGAGCCAGUUGAGGUGGUUGGGGCAUGUCCCACUGGGAGGAGGCCUUUGGGUUUCCCCCGGAUAAGCUGGCAGAGGUGGCCGCGGAGAGGGAGGCCUGGACUUCUUUGCUAAGGCUGCUGCCCCACGAUUCAGCUCCGGAUAAGCGGAAGAAGAUGGAUGGAUGGAUUAAAAUUUCCAGGGAACACAUGACGUAGACUACUUUUGUGCUUAGGUUUGACUUAUUCUGGCACUACUAUUACACUAAAACGCUGCUAGCAUCUGUGCUAGCAGCAGCAACUGGUAGCAAGUCAUCAGUGACAGCAGCUCGUUUGUUUACUUACACCUAUAAAUACUGCUGCUUGCAGCAACAUUCAGUUCAAUUUUAUUUAUAUAGUACCAAAUCACAGCAACAGUCACCUCAACGCUCAACAUUCAGCAUUUUAUUCCCUAUAACAUCAAAAGUUGCAGUUUUUCUUAAAAUGUCAAUGGAAUUUUGAAACAAUAUCACCUACCCCUACUUAGUAAAUUCACCUUUGCAGGUUAUGUAAUACCUGCUGCAGGCUUUACACUCUCAUACUGGUCUACAUGUGACAGUUAUGCACGAAGAAAAGCCCUGACCCCCAAAGAAUAAGCUCUGCAGCAAAUGUGCACUCUGCAAGCUUCCAACUUUGAUUGUAAAUAGAGGACUGGCGUAGCUACCAGAGUGUCACCCAGUGGUUUGUUAAUUCUGACGUUUAGCUUCCAUCAACAUCUGUUUUUAUUUUUUAAAAGCCAGAUAUGAUGAUGUUUGGAUGUGAAGAAUGCAGGGUGGAAAGUUUCAAUCGAACAGAAGCUACUGUAGCCUGGUUAGCAUCCAAUGGCUAUACUGGAGUUUGACUUGUUAACAAGUCUGGUCAUACCCCUAGUAAUGAGUUAAAUUUUACAGUAGUCCUUAUGCUCUGCAGCUUCACUGAAUUGGGUACAUGAAUGGUUCCUCUGCUGCAGGUCCUGGUAAAGGCGACCCCGUAGCUCACAGCAGCUUUCCAGAUCACAAGAAAGACUCCAUCACUGCCAUCGCCAGCUGCAGUGGAGCGCUGGUUCUUUCAACAGAAACCUGUCCAGUGAGUCUGCCAGCACGGGAAACACGAGAUGUGAACAGGCCAAUUGCUAGCUGGUUAGCUACAGCUGAAUUUUCAAAAUAAGGGUUUGUCCACUCAAAACAAGAAUGGUGUCGAAGGGAUGAAAAAAAGCUUUAAAAAAAAGUCACCAGAUAAACUAGGUCAGCCAUUGAAGUAAAUCUAUACUAAUAAUCUAAAUUAUUAAACUAAAUCUUUUUUCCUUCUUUUCUUUUUUUUUUAAACCAGGUUGUAAACAUGUAAACGUGCUGAUUUUUCCUGUAUGGAGACUGACUCACCUUUGAAGACAGCCUCGAGUGGUCAUUGGAGGAAUUGCAGUUUUUGGUACAUUAGCUUCGGUUCAUUUUUCAGAUGCACUUGGCUUUAAAACUUUGCCAGUGUUUUAAAGAGGAAUAAAGGGCACUCAGAAAGUUUUUCAGAUCUUCAGGAUAAACUCAACGCAUUUUGGUGCGAAACACUGAAUGUACACAGAAAAGCAGGCGCGCAACCAAGAGGUUCACAGAUCUGCAGCCAAAGAGAGGUGGAAAAAACUUGCUAAUCUCUGAGGUGAUUAUUGGAAUUAGCAUUGAGGCUAACUGGAUUAUAUUGUUGUGGUGAACGAGCCUGCUGACCUUUCAACAUCAUGAAUGUCAUGUAAAAAUGAAUGAAAGUCACUUACAUGUUUUCACCACAGUGACUUCUUUUCAUCGUUCUAGGUUUACCAGGUAGCCCAAAUGUGCUCAGAAAAAGAAAAAGAAAAUCUCUGGCCCCUCCCACUUUGGGUUAACUCAACCAGUGAGAUCAUUUCUGGCUCCUGAACAUCUCCGCUUUUGAUGCAUGUUUGAAGAACUGAAAGUUCUCUUUGGAGGAGAAGGAGAAGAGUAGGAGUUGGUUGUGGUUGAGGUGGGAAGGAAGGAGGGAGGGAGACUCAUCCACCCUCACCCGUUCGAUAUCCGUUUGACCGAUCCCCUCGGACUGUCUGAUGUUCCUCCUGUCAUUUCCCCUUUUUCAUGUCACCUGACUCCCAACCCAUCCCUGCCUAUAAACCCCGCCCUGCUCUGACCCUCGCCCGGUGUCGAUGUUUCUUUUUUGUAUUUCUUUUAUAUAUGAGAACACAAUAAAAAGGGGUCUAAUUUUUUAUACAAACC
ensembl:lncRNA